rnacentral:tRNA from 1 species
GACGCUAUUCUUGCGAGUGUUCACACAGAUUGUAUAGGUUGAAAUUGAAAGAGAGCACAUCAUUGCUUUGAUGGGUCUGUAGCUCAGCUGGUUAGAGCGCACCCCUGAUAAGGGUGAGGUCGGUGGUUCAAGUCCACUCAGACCCACCAACACAUCCCCAAAUGUGUUGGUUAACAAAGUAAUCAAUGUGGGGCUAUAGCUCAGCUGGGAGAGCGCCUGCCUUGCACGCAGGAGGUCAGCAGUUCGAUCCUGCUUAGCUCCACCACUUUUUAAGCGUAUUUAUAUUGAUAAGUGCCUUUAAAAAGUGGUUUAUCGUCGUGAUAAAUACACAUGCUCUUUAACAAUCUGGAAAGCUGACAAGUCAUUCUUUAAGAAUGACAGUAAAGUUCUCAAUCAGUGACAUAUCAUGUCACUCACACAAUCAAGUGUGCUUGGACUUUGUCUUAUUGAAUCAAUAACGACAAAGCUUCUAUUUGAGUCCGGCAAAAACAAAACCUUAGUUGUUUUCAUGCAAGACCUUUUGGGGUUGUAUGG